rnacentral:rRNA from 1 species
UGGCUCAGAAUCAACGCUGGCGGCGUGCCUCAGACAUGCAAGUCGAACGAUUAAAGCUCCCUUCGGGGAGUGCAUAAAGUGGCGCACGGGUGAGUAACACGUAAGUAAUCUACCUUCGAGUGGGGAAUAACCCGGGGAAACCCGAGCUAAUACCGCAUAACGCAGCGGCAUCGCAAGAUGACAGUUGUUAAAGGAGCAAUCCGCUUGAAGAGGAGCUUGCGGCAGAUUAGCUAGUUGGUAAGGUAAUGGCUUACCAAGGCUACGAUCUGUAUCCGGUCUAAGAGGACGGUCGGACACACUGACACUGAAUAACGGGUCAGACUCCUACGGGAGGCAGCAGUCGGGAAUUUUGGGCAAUGGGGGAAACCCUGACCCAGCAACGCCGCGUGAAGGAUGAAGUAUUUCGGUAUGUAAACUUCGAAAGAAUGGGAAGAAUAAAUGACGGUACCAUUUAUAAGCUCCGGCUAACUACGUGCCAGCAGCCGCGGUAAUACGUAGGGAGCAAGCGUUGUUCGGAUUUACUGGGCGUAAAGGGCGCGUAGGCGGCGCGGUAAGUCACUUGUGAAAUCUCUGAGCUUAACUCAGAACGGCCAAGUGAUACUGCAG